ACUACGGGUGGCAGCAGUGGGGAAUAUUGCGCAAUGGGCGAAAGCCUGACGCAGCGACGCCGCGUGAGGGAUGAAGGUCCUCGGAGCGUAAACCUCUGUCAGCAGGGAAGAACGGUCACUGUGCUAAUCAGCAGUGAAUUGACGUUACCUGCAAAGGAAGCACCGGCUAACGCCGUGCCAGCAGCGGCGGUAAUACGGAGGGUGCGAGCGUUAAUCGGAAUUAAUGGGCGGAAAGCGCUCGUAGGCGGGAUGUCAAGUCAAGGGUGAAAUCCCCGCGCUCAACGUGGAAACUGCAUUUGAAACUGGCAGACUGGAGGGUAGGAGAGGAUAGUGGAAUUCCAGGUGU
rnacentral:rRNA from 1 species